CCUGGCUCAGAUUGAACGCUGGCGGCAGGCCUAACACAUGCAAGUCGAGCGGUAACAGAAAGUAGCUUGCUACUUUGCUGACGAGCGGCGGACGGGUGAGUAAUGCUUGGGAACAUGCCUUGAGGUGGGGGACAACAGUUGGAAACGACUGCUAAUACCGCAUAAUGUCUACGGACCAAAGGGGGCUUCGGCUCUCGCCUUUAGAUUGGCCCAAGUGGGAUUAGCUAGUUGGUGAGGUAAUGGCUCACCAAGGCAACGAUCCCUAGCUGGUUUGAGAGGAUGAUCAGCCACACUGGAACUGAGACACGGUCCAGACUCCUACGGGAGGCAGCAGUGGGGAAUAUUGCACAAUGGGCGAAAGCCUGAUGCAGCCAUGCCGCGUGUGUGAAGAAGGCCUUCGGGUUGUAAAGCACUUUCAGUCAGGAGGAAAGGGUGUGAGUUAAUACCUCACAUCUGUGACGUUACUGACAGAAGAAGCACCGGC
rnacentral:rRNA from 1 species